GGCAGGAGGAACCAAGAGCUCAGGGCCCCACCCCUCAGUGUGCCCUGAGAGAAAAGCAGUCAAUCUCUCAUAUCUCUCUGGUCUCCAGCCUGUGUCCAAGCAUUUCUAUCUCUGGUGCAGGGCUCUGUUUGGAGUCUCCAAACCCAGCAGAUUCCUGCCAUCCUGUUCCUCCCAGAAGAGGAAGGAACCUCCAUAGUGUUUUCCACAGUGGCUGUAACAGUUUGCAUUCCCACCACCAACAUUGCAAGA
rnacentral:lncRNA from 1 species